GUAGGGAGCAAACGUUGUCCGGAUUUAUUGGGCGUAAAGGGCUCGUAGGCGGUUCAACAAGUCGGUCGUGAAAGCCCGGGGCUCAACUCCGGGACGCCGGUCGAAACUGUUGUGACUUGAGUUCGGUAGAGGUGAGUGGAAUUCUCGGUGUAGCGGUGGAAUGCGCAGAUAUCGAGAGGAACACCAUUAGCGAAGGCGGCUCACUGGGCCGAUACUGACGCUGAGGAGCGAAAGCGUGGGGAGCAAACAGGAUUAGAUACCCUGGUAGUCCACGCCGUAAACGAUGAACACUAGGUGUAGCGGAUUUAUUCAUGUCUGCUGUGCCGUAGCUAACGCAUUAAGUGUUCCGCCUGGGGAGUACGGCCGCAAGGCUA
rnacentral:rRNA from 1 species